UGAUGGUAUUCUAAAUAGGUUACAUGAGAAUGAUGGCAUUCUAAAUAGAUUUCAUGAAAAUUAUGCCACACUACCGGGAUAUACACUAUGCCAUUAUACAUCACACCAGUCUUUUUGGUGCUACAUAUCAUGCCACCAAAAAAAAAGGGAUACUACACCAUUGCUACAGACAUUGUCACACCUACUAGUAUGGCACCCUAAAUUAGUUCUACACACAUAGUAUCACUCUAUGGAGUAUAAAUGUAUAUAACGUCACUCAUAAAUAGAAUACAGCCAUUAUUGGUACCUACAUGGUUCCACUCAGGACACACGAAACCAUCCUUAUAUAUAUAAAUGCAACCACUUUAAACAGAACUUGUGUCACUGCUAUAGUCAGCACUAAUUGCUACAUACAGCAAUGCAGAUUUAUCAGAGCUAUUAUCAGCUUUAUAAACCCACUCAUCGCCAUUUUGACCCAGUUUUGUUAGAUCCCAUCACUUUCCUAUUGUGUUCAUCCUGUGCCCUCCGACUCCUGCUCGCCUGCCCCUCCUAACCCCGAGUCCUCCUCCUCUCA